CACAAGGUUGCUGGUUCAAUACCACUGCCUCCCUGAAGAGGAGACAGGGAUUCAAGUGGGAACUCUUUAGGUUUUUUCCUCUUGCCACUGUUCCACGCCAAUUGAAUAGCGACUGGGCCAAAGGCAAAACAAGAAGCCCUCUACGCUACAGCGGUUAGGCUACUCCCCUGGGAAACGCAAGGUUGCUGGUUCAAUACCACUGCCUCCCUGAAGAGGAGACAGGGAGCGAACUGGGAGCUCUUUUGGUCUUUCUUGUCGCUGUUCCAAGUCAACUGAAUAGUAAUUGGGCCAAAGGAAAAGCAAGAAGCCCUCUACGCUACAGCGGUUAGGCUACUCCCCUGGGAAACUCAAGGUGGCUGGUUCAAUACCAACACCUCCCUGAAGAGAAGACAAGGACUCAAUGGGGAACUCUUUAGGUUUUUCCUCUUGCCGCUGUUCCACGCCAAUUGAAUAGCGACUGGGCCAAAGGCAAAGCAAGAAGCCCUCUACGCUACAGCGGUUAGGCUACUCCCCUGGGAAACUCAAGGUUGCUGGUUCAAUACCACUGCCUCCCUGAAGAGGAGACAGGGACUCAAUGGGGAACUCUUUAGGUUUUUUCCUCUUGCCGCUGUUCCACGCCAAUUGAAUAGCGACUGGGCCAAAGGCAAAGCAAGAAGCCCUCUACGCUACAGCGGUUAGGCUACUCCCCUGGGAAACUCAAGGUUGCUGGUUCAAUACCACUGCCUCCCUGAAGAAGAGACAGAGAGCGAACUGGGAGCUCUUUUGGUCUUUCCUCUUGUCGCUGUUCCAAGUCAACUGAAUAGUAAUUGGGCCAAAGGAAAAGCAAGAAGCCCUCUACGCUACAGCGGUUAGGCUACUCCCCUGGGAAACUCAAGGUUGCUGGUUCAAUACCACUGCCUCCCUGAAGAGGAGACAGGGAGCGAACUGGGAGCUCUUUUGGUCUUUCUUGUCGCUGUUCCA